rnacentral:rRNA from 1 species
CGUACUCAGAGUGAAUCAUCGAAUCUUUGAACGCACUUUGCACCUCGUGGCUCCUGCCACGAGGUAUACUUGUUUGAGUAUCCGUAACCUUCUCACCCUCCCCUCGGGGCCGGCGGUGGACGUUGAGAUUCGAGUGGCUCCCCUCGAGCAACCCGUCUCUUAAAAAGCAUGGCCGCUACAUGGAAGGUCUCCGUUGGGACCUGACAGACCAUUGGGAUAACAUCCUACAAUCGUCUUGUCAGUGUCGUAUCUGAGGCGUUGACCGACCUUGGCCACCCGGAUCAAGCAGACUGCCACCUGGCCGUCUGUACGAUCAUGAUAUGUAUGCCUGUCAUACAUGACAUCUGGAUCUCAAAUCAAGUAAGGAUACCCGCUGAACUUAAGCAUAUCAAUAAGCGGAGG